ACCUUUAAGACAAGUUCUGUUCUAGGCUGCUAAGGCGUCCAUUCAGAAGAGGGAUGGGGGCAGAUCUUUGCUGAGCUAUGACUAACACCAGGCAGGGCACCCAUGCUCACUCUCACACCAAGCAUUAAUGUGGUCCUUCAUACCCAUUUUACAGAGGGGGAGACAACAUUUCAAUAAUUCCCUCAUGGGAGGGGUUUGCAUUCCAGCCCAGGAAUUGGAUUCCCCCAUACCCUACAAUAGCAUGCACCCCCGCCCCUCCCCCCACAUAUGUGGUCAUUGGCUCAUUUUCCAGAUGAGACGGAAGUGUAUGAGGCACCCGCCCUGUUCUGUUAGAUUGACAGUGUCAGAACCUGCAAGGCUAGGGUUGGAACCAGAUGCCAAGGACCCACUCUCUGGCCUCCCACAGAUGGGCUGGUGUGGAGGGCCUGUUGCAAGCCCAGCCUCCUUGGGUUCGGGAUGAAUGCACACCCCUGUGAAGCUUUGGCCAGAUAGGUUCUGGUGCCCACAGAGCUAAUCAACCAGGAAGGUGCUCUAACUCACUGCAGCAGAGCUGCAUGCAAUACCAGUACAUGUGGAGGAGUGGGGGUGGCUAGGAAGGAGACAUGAUCCUCGCUGUAAACAUUUUGGUGCCCGAGUAGAUGGAUUGUCCAGUAAAGUGUUUGCUGCACAAGCAUCAGGACCCUGGAGGGCAGGAGUGGUGCGCAUGCGUGACCCCAGUGCAGAAAGGUGGAUUCCCUAGGGCUCUCAGCCGGUUAGGACUGAUGAGUCCAGAUCCAAGGAGACUCUGCUUUGAUCUAUAAGGUGGACAACCAGGGAGAAAGGUUCCCUACACUGACUUGUGCCGCCAGCACUCAUGUGCACUUAGACACACACA
rnacentral:lncRNA from 1 species